AAACUAACAAGGAUUCCCCUAGUAGCGGCGAGCGAAGCGGGAAGAGCUCAAAUUUAUAAUCUGGCACCUUCGGUGUCCGAGUUGUAAUCUCUAGAAGUGUUUUCCGCGUUGGACCGCACACAAGUCUGUUGGAAUACAGCGGCAUAGUGGUGAAACCCCCGUAUAUGGUGCGGACGCCCAGCGCUUUGUGAUACACUUUCAAUGAGUCGAGUUGUUUGGGAAUGCAGCUCAAAUUGGGUGGUAAAUUCCAUCUAAAGCUAAAUAUUGGCGAGAGACCGAUAGCGAACAAGUACCGUGAGGGAAAGAUGAAAAGCACUUUGGAAAGAGAGUUAACAGUACGUGAAAUUGUUGGAAGGGAAACGCUUGAAGUCAGACUUGCUUGCCGGAGCUUGCUUCGGUUUGCAGGCCAGCAUCAGUUUUCCGGGGUGGAUAAUGACGGUUUGAAGGUAGCAGUCUCGGCUGUGUUAUAGCUUUCCGUUGGAUACGCCCUGGGGGACUGAGGAACGCAGCGUGCUUUUUGCGAAAGACUCGUCUUUUUCACGCUUAGGAUGCUGG
rnacentral:rRNA from 1 species